rnacentral:rRNA from 1 species
AUUGAACGCUGGCGGCAGGCCUAAUACAUGCAAGUCGAGCGAGCGGCGGACGGGUGAGUAAUGUCUGGGAAACUGCCUGAUGGAGGGGGAUAACUACUGGAAACGGUAGCCAAUACCGCAUACUAUCAGAUGUGCCCAGAUGGGAUUAGCUGGUAGGUGGGGUAACGGCUCACCUAGGCGACGAUCCCUAGCUGGUCUGAGAGGAAGACCAGCCACACUGGAACUGAGACACGGUCCAGACGCCUACGGGAGGCAGCAGGGGGGAAUAGUGCACAAUGGGCGCAAGCCUGAUGCAGACAUGCCGCGGGUGUGAAGAAGGCCUUCGGGUUGUAAAGAACUUUCAGCGGGGAGGCGUUACCCGCAGAAGAAGCACCGGCUAACUCCGUGCCAGCAGCCGCGGUAAUUC